rnacentral:rRNA from 1 species
UACAGAGGGUGCAAACGUUGUUCGGAUUUACUGGGCGUAAAGCGCGUGUAGGCUGCUUCGCAAGUCGGAUGUGAAGCCCUGGGCUCAACCCAGGAAGUGCAUUCGAAACUGCAGAGCUGGAGUCCUGGAGAGGAAGGCGGAAUUCUCGGUGUAGAGGUGAAAUUCGUAGAUAUCGAGAGGAACACCGGUGGCGAAGGCGGCCUUCUGGACAGUGACUGACGCUGAGACGCGAAAGCGUGGGGAGCAAACAGG